rnacentral:misc_RNA from 1 species
AGGCAAUCUCUCACUCUUCCAGAACAGCCCCGAAGCGUUCAACCGCUAUGCGGAGUUCCUUCACGGCUUCGGAUUUCUGCUCUAUGUCGCCGAGGCAGGACUUGCGCUGGUUAUCCUGCUGCACGCCUAUCUGGGGAUCGCGAUCUACCUGCGCAAGAAGAAGGCGCGGGGUGAAGGAUACCAGGUCUACAAAAGCAAAGGUAGUCCGAGCAAGCAGAGCGUCGCAUCGAAGACGAUGAUCUAUUCAGGGAUCGUCCUGCUGGUAUUUCUCGUCAUCCACAUCAUUCAAUUCCGCUUUGGU